AAACAGUGACUUCCUGAAGGUGUUGUGUAUAUAAACAGUGACUUCCUGAAGGCGUUGUGUAUAUAAACAGUGACUUCCUGAAGGCGUUGUGUAUAUAAACAGUGACUUCCUGAAGGUGUUGUGUAUAUAAACAGUGACUUCCUGAAGGCGUUGUGUAUAUAAACAGUGACUUCCUGAAGGUGUUGUGUAUAUAAACAGUGACUUCCUGAAGGUGUUGUGUAUAUAAACUGUGACUUUCUGAAGGAGUUGUGUGUAUAUAAACAGUGACACAUUCUCCACCAAUGACAAAGAAGGAUAGUCUCACCUUCCUGUAAUUCACAAACAAUUUAAUGAUUUAUUGUUCUCCAUCUUAUCUUGCUCGAUUGUGAUUUUUUUUCUCUGUAUUCCCCCCUUCUUUCAUCAUUCCCAUUCCCAUCAUUCCCAUUCCCAUCAUUCCCAUUCCCAUCAUUCCCAUUCCCAUCAUUCCCAUUCCCAUCAUUAUCAUUCCCAUCAUUCCCAUUCCCAUCAUUCCCAUUCCCAUCAUUCCCAUUCCCAUCAUUCCCAUUCCCAUCAUUCCCAUUCCCAUCAUUCCCAUCAUUCCCAUCAUUCCCAUUCCCAUCAUUCCAUCAUUCCCAUCAUUCCCAUUCCCAUCAUUCCCAUUCCCAUCAUUCCCAUUCCCAUCAUUCCCAUUCCCAUCAUUCCCAUUCCCAUCAUUCCCAUUCCCAUCAUUCCCAUUCCCAUCAUUCCCAUUCCCAUCAUUCCCAUUCCCAUCAUUCCCAUUCCCAUCAUUCCCAUUCCCAUCAUUCCCAUUCCCAUCAUUCCCAUGGCUCUCGCCUUUCUGGACUUCUAACAAAAUCUGUUUUACAGCAAUAUGGAGACUGUUUCAGAAGGCAGCUCGCGGCCUCUGGUCUCUCAUCUCUGCCAACCAGUAUAGCCUAUAUGUGGCAAAAAGCUCCUAUAAUUGUGGAAUAACAGGGCUAGAGAGGGAGAGUAUGCAUAGUCGAUACAAAGUAUAGGAAUAGCAGACAAGUGGGUUAGGAAAAGCAGGACACUAGUAGUUCAACCAUUUUCAAAGUUGGUUUUUGGGAGUAAUUUGCUUUCACAAUAAAAAUGAUUUAAAAAAAGCCAUGUGAACUUUGUCCAUCUGGUUCUUGGUAAUGGGCAUCAUGACAUUAUGGCCCAUUUUCAGACAACUGACCAGUCAGAAAGUUCAGCUGCUCUCCUGCUAACUUUAAAAUCCUUUACAUAAGAUAAGCGCUACCAGUCAAAAGGGUGUCCAGGGAAAAACCGUAGCAACCUUUUAUUUUUGUUUUACAGUCAUGAUCAUUCUGAUUGGUUGACUACCUGGGUGAUGCAGACAAAAUGGCUACUUCUCUCACCCAACAACAAGAUUUGGUGUCCAUGGUGGAUAGCAAGCAUGGCAUUGUGGCAUGUGUACUUGCCUGGCACAACCAGUGUUUCUGAAACAAACUCCUUCCUCCCACCCCUUCCGUUUAAUAGCUCGUGAAAUUGGAGAGACUGGAGAACAGAGGGUUUAGAUUGAUAAUUUGUGCGUGAAGUGCUCUUAGCUAAGGGAGACUUAAUCCCAGCGACAUCUUCCCUGGCGAACUGGAGGGAGUUGAAUCCCUUCCUUGCCAUGUAAUGUCUUCUUUCCUUAUGCUGAUCGGUGAACAGACCGGAUAGGUUUCCACAAUAUUGUUUCUUCUAAUAAGUCCUCAGAUCAGUGUACAUGAAGGAAAUGAGAUAAAGGAAGCAACUGAACAAAGGAAGUGGUUUAAGACCCUCAAAUUGUUGUAGAGGAAUGUAUUGAAGGGCAAAGCAAGUCAACACCCAUGGUGUUUGGUUCAGCAUUAUUCAUUUUCUGUUCUUAUCUCCUACCUCGUCUGUGUUCACAGAGCUGAGAGGACAAAACCAUGGAUUUCAAUUCACUCAAUUCAAAAACGCAUGCAGGCUCUUGUAAACUUGUAGCAGUACUUUUUGGUUGCUUUUUUUUUGGUUGCUCAUCUCACAUGUGCCUGGACAAAAAGUGCAAGAGAAUGAUUUUAGUCUUUUUUUUUUUAGGGAGGCGGGUGGGAUGAGUGAGAAAGUGAGUCGGAAUGAAUGUUCUGGUAUAUAAAUUCAUUGUCUUCUUGAUUGUCUAACCUGUUUUGUAUUUGUGUGGUGGAAAACACCAGCGUCUCUGGUUACUUAAAGCCGAGCUUUACUCUU